rnacentral:ncRNA from 2 species
UAUAUACACUAGGGGUGCCUUGCGCUGAGAUGGCUUUUGCCGAACCCUUUACCUGAUCCGGAUAAUGCCGGCGUAGGAAAGUUGUGCUAAGUACCC